rnacentral:lncRNA from 1 species
AGAAUUCAUUUAUGUGGGUUGGGCCGAAACCAAGAGUAAACAUCAUGAACCCUGAUCAGAUAAGGGACGUAUUCAUGAAGAUAAAUGAAUAUCAGAAGCCCUUCCACCCGCUGUUGAAACCUCUAGCAUGUGGACUUGCAAGUCACGAGGGUGAAAAAUGGGCUAAACAUAGAAAGAUAAUCAACCCAGCAUUUCAUCAAGAGAAGCUAAAGGUGAUCAUGAUAGUCUCAACUUAUGUGCCUAUAAGCAUCCAUGCUAUUCGAUAGCCUUGAAUGAGUAGCAUGCAUGUUUUGCUCUCAUAUAGCUGUAAUAUAAAACUUUCGAUGAUUAUAUGUUCUGUUUUACAGCUUAUGAUACCUGCGUUUUCCGAAAGUUGUAGUGGGAUGAUUAACAAGUGGGAGAAGCUGGUCUCUGUAGACGAGGGGUCAUGUGAAUUGGAUGUCUGGCCUGAUCUUCAAGGAUUAGCAUGUGAUGCUAUUUCUCGAACGUCGUUUGGAAGUAAUUACGAAGAAGGAAAAAGAAUAUUUGAUCUCCUCAAGGAACUAACCGAUCUUACAGUUCAUGUUAUAAUAAAAGCAAUUGUCAUACCAGGGUACAGGUAACUCUUUAUUCUGUUUUUGCUGGACAUUACAAUUCAGUUCCUUCAAGUUAGUCCCUGUUCAAUGAGAUAUAUCUUGAAAGUAAGAAGAAGAACAAAUCCAAAUCUCUUGACAACAUGUUCAUGUGGAUUGCAUGUAGGUUUCUGCCGAUCCCAUCUAAUAGAAGGCUAAAAGCUAUUGACCAAGAAAUAAAAGCUUCUCUUAAUGCUCUCAUCACCAAAAGAGAGAAAGCAAUGAGUGGUGGUGAAGAUGCAAAGAAUGACUUGUUGGAUAUACUUCUGGAAUCCAAUUUUAGAGAAAUACAAGAGCAUGGAAAUACCAAGAUCGUCGGAAUGAGCAUUGAAGAUGUGGUUGACGAAUGUAAAAUAUUCUACUUUGCUGGACAAGAAACAACCUCAGUUCUUCUUACCUGGACCAUGGUUUUAUUGGCUCAGUAUCCGAAAUGGCAAGCACGCGCAAGAGAAGAGGUUGUGCAAGUCUUCGGUAACAAAAAACCAGAUUUCGAUGGGCUAAAUCACCUUAAAGUUGUGAGUAUCUCUGCAUUUGCAACUGAAUUCUUGUACAUCAAUAUUGUGUUGUUAUUGUUAAGAACACAGAGCAUUCUUGUAUUUAAAAUGAAAGCUUAGGUAUCCUUUGAAGAAACAAUAAGAUAGCAGAAAAAAAACGUUCAUGUUUUCUUUCGUUGAAUUAUUAAUCGGCCAAAAUGACGAGGAAAAGCAACCAACAGAUGAGUACGCAAGCAAGCUAGGACGUGACAUCUAUAUACAUUAAGAAUGAGAUUUACUAGUUCUUGGAUCAACAUAAAAAUUCUCAAUUUAGUAAGUUGAAAUGGCAUGCAAAUGAUCUCUAUAUAUGCGAUAUUUUAUUUUAUCAAAGUGCAUAGCAUGUCACCUUUUUAAUGGAUUCUUACCAUGGAGUAUCGUUCUCUCUUUUGAUGCAUGUUACAGGUUACCAUGAUUUUGUAUGAAGUUCUUAGGUUAUACCCGCCGGUAAUUAUGCUUAAUCGAGAUGUUCAUGAAGAAAUAAAGCUUGGAAAUUUGCUAUUACCUGCCGGAGUGCAGAUCUCGGUGCCAACAAUCCUCCUUCACCAAGAUCAUGAACUAUGGGGUGAUGAUGUCUCUGAGUUCAAACCAGAGAGGUUUGCUGAAGGUGUUUCAAAGGCAACAAAGAGUCAAGUCUCAUUCCUUCCAUUUGGAUGGGGUCCUCGAAUAUGCGUUGGACAAAACUUUGCUUUGAUUGAAGCAAAAAUGGCUUUGGCAAUGGUUUUACAGCGUUACUCUUUUGAGCUCUCGCCGUCGUAUAUUCAUGCUCCUCGCACUGUCAUAACUCUUCAGCCACAGCACGGUGUGCCAAUGAUAUUACGUAAACUCCAAAAUGUUCAUAUGUGACGGGUAAGAGUCAUCCCAGGGUAUAAAGUAGGUUGGAUCUCCCAACAAACCAAACCAAAAAGAAAACUUCUAGUAUAUUAUGUGCAAAUUAUGCUAUCAUGUCCAAUGAUAUGUUUGUCAUAUUAAUCACAACAUUAUAGUACCGUGGGUUGUUUUGCUGUAAUCGUAGUAGAUUACUAUAAUAAAAUUACAUAUUUGCUUUUGAGUAGGAAAGAAAGAAAGUCCUGAGGGUGGGGUGUUUUGGUCUAUUUUAUUAACCCAUUCAUUAUUAAAAAAAUUAUUAAGGGUGUAGAAUUUAUUUUUUUGUACGAUAAAAAGAUUAUUUUACUUUCAAAGUCAACAAAACUUAAAGUGGUUGAAUAAUUUUUUUUUUUUUUACUUUUUAUAAAAUUUGAGAUAGUAAUAUUUUUUUUUAUCUAGGAUUAAAAAUUUUUUGGGCUAUUAGGCAAUGGUUUUUUUUCCCCUGUAUUUUUGGCCCUAGAUAAAACAGAAAACAAAAAAUCGGGUUUAUAUUUAGGGGUAUUUUUAUACUUUCACACGGGCUUUUAGAUAAUUAACAAAGUCAUAAGAGUUUUUUUAAUAUUUUUAAGUUGAGUUUUUAAUUUUUUAAUCAGAAAAGUUGUUGGUGUGUGGUAAACACACCGACAAGUAGAUGACGUCUGAGUCAUUCUAAUGUGAUCUAGUUGUCCCAUUUAAAACUUGAUUUGACUCCAAAAAAAACUUUAAGUUGUCAUUAUUUUAACCUUUGCGCAAUCCAAUCAAGUUCAAAUAAGGAAUAAUGGAUUGUGAUAUGAGGAAAUCGUGGUGAAACAAAAAGAUAAAACCAUAUUGGAUCAAACUCAAUCAAUCUAGGUAACACCUACCACAUGCGUUGGCAUGAUCAUGACAUGAUCACAAUAAGCUUAUAUGGUUUGGUUAUUUGUUUCUUUUAUUUUCCUUCCUUUAUUUUCUUCUAGGUUGGGUUUUUAUUGGGCUUUGGUAUGAUAAGACUUGGGAUCAAUUGAAGAGUUAUAAAAGACUUAGGAACCAAAUAAAAAAUAUUAAAAGAGUUAUAAAAGAAUCAAAGGUGAAAUAAAAAAUAUAUAAUAAGAGACUAAAUAAAAAUAAAAAAAGGUGCGUGCAAUGCACACAUCAAUAUGGAAAAAAGCUUGUCGUGUUUAAACAACGUGUGUAACUUUCUUUAAGUUAUGAUGAAGGAUGCCCUUUGUUGGAAUUGCCUCGGCGGCAUCUCUCUUCCAUGGCAUCAAUAGUGUAGUCAUGAUGGGGCGCUAACAACCUUUUUUUCUUGUAUUUUUUUUCUCCUCUAUUCCUUUUUUUCUCAUCCCCUUAAUUCUUGGGCAUGACCUGGAGAAGAAAAAAAAAAUAAUCACAAUUUUAAUCUACAAUAACUUAUUUAACUUCUUAGAAAAAAGCAUAAUCAUGCUUUCAAUGUCAAACCAUGUCAUCAUUAGGGGGAAAAAAUGAAAAUAUCGUGUAACUUAUAAAUCGCUCUUCAUGCUGAGAUUCUAAUUACCAUUUAUUUAUUUAUUUUAUCUACUCCAAUCAACAAUUUUCUUACUCUCAUGAAUUAUUAAUUUAAUGACUACAGCCGUAAAGAAUCCAAACAAAGGAAUAUUAGUUCCAAACACUAGUAAACAAGAUAUGGAGAUGGCCAUUCACACAAGUGCGUUUGGUAUUGUGGUGACUGUUGUGGUUGUGAUAUGAAAAAAGUACUUUCAUAAAAAAGUGCUUUUAGUUGAGGUUUGUCUGUAAAAAUAUAUGUUUGGUUAAAACUGUGAUUGAAAUUAAGGUUGAAGAAAAAAUUGUUUAAUGUGUUUGGUUCAAAAUUGUGGUUCAAUUUUUUUUAUUGUAUAAUUACCUAAAAGGACUUAAUUCAUAAUACUAAUGAACAAUCUCAUAAAAUUAACAUUACAACUAAUAAAUUUUUGCAAAUAGACCUAAACAUAUUAGAAUAAUAAUUUAUAAUUGUUUCAUUAAACUUGCAGCAAUCCCAUCACGUACGUAAUCCAUUCGCGAAGGCCUUUGGUGUCCUUGACUUUGUAAACGUGAAGCCACAUCAGUUAGAAAAUCAUCAGGCACAAAAUCAGGAUGGCGAUCAAACUCCAUGAAUGCCACAUCUUGCAUUGAAGUUCUUCUAAUGUAAUUAUGAAUUGCCAUGGAUGCGACAACAAUUUCAACUUGUGUCUUGUAAUUAAAGGAUGACAUAUUCUGUAGAAUUCGCCAUCUUUUUUUUCCAAACUCCAAAUGUUCGUUCUAUCACACAACGUAAUGAAGAGUGCAUACGGUUGAAAAUUUCUUCACGAGUUUGUGGUUGUCCUCGCCUCCUAAAUUCUUGCAAAUGAUAUCUCUGACCUCUAUAUGGACCUAAAAAUCCAUAUUCAUUAGGAUAUCCUGAAUCAACCAAGUAGUUUUUCACUGAUAAAACAUAUAAUUGUUUUAAAUUGAAAAUUAAAAAAACAAAAAAAAAAAACAAAAUUACAUUACUAAUCAUAUAUACAGACACACACAAACACGUAUUACUACCUUCUGGUGGCUUAGGAAAUUUUAUACGUGGAUUGUCAAUUGCCUCGAGAAAAAUUCGUGUAUCAUGUGCACUACCUUCCCAACCCUCCCAAACAAAUAUGAAUUGCAUGUCAAAGCUACAUGCAGCCAUAACAUUCUGGGUUGGCACACCUUUUCGACUGAUAAAUGGAAUUUGAUUUUCAAAAGAAACACAUGCACGUACAUGUGUAUCGUCGAUAGCUCCUACACAAUUCUAAUAUAUGAUAAACCAGCAAAAUAACAUCAAUUUCAGCUGACAAAAAAAUUAAAUUUCACAAAUUCAUGAAAUACGAAUCACCAUUAACAAAUACGAUUAACGACAUCACCUUGAAAUGUGGCAUGUACCUCGGAUUGUUCACAAUUUCCCUCGGUGUGUUUACGAACCCGGGAUCUGCAGGUUGAAUUAAAUCUGUAGCAAGCGAACAAACUGAUCUAAGAACUUCAUUAAAGUACCUACUAAUUGUUUCUCCUGAAUGUUGGAAUCUCUCUUGAACUUCCCUAUUGGAAGCAACUAAAGCUAUUGUAUAAAGAAAUAUUCCAACUUUUUCAAAAACACACAUUCUUCUAGAUGCCGUUAACCCGUAUUAGUUUUCAAGUUUAAAGCACAUACUCUGAAAUGUCGGCGCAUCCAUCCUAAACAUAAACACACAACGCGUCUAAUGUCCAUGUAGAAUUUCUGUCAACCAUUGCAUUCUAGUGUUGUAUGAAUCCAUACAAGGCUCCUUAUAUAUAUAAGUAUUAUAAUAUAAAGCUAUGGCACCUGCCGUGCAUAAAAUCAAUUUCUGAUCAUCAAACCCCCUUUCCCAAAAUAGCUCACCUUCUUCAUCUGAAUCGUCAUCGUUGUUGUCGUCAGUAUCAGAACUGUUACUACCACUGCAAUCUCCAUCGUUUAUAGACAAAUUCCCAUAAUUAACGUAAUCGGCAACGUUAUUCAUUACAUCAUCAUAAUCCCCAUCAAAAAGUAUUGAAAACCAAUGCGAAUCCAUAUCUAUCAUGCCAUAAAAUUUUUGUGAAUAAUUGAAAAUUGUAUGACUUUUUUACAAAAAAACACAAAUGGAUAAUGCAAACCGAAAUAAGUGUUAUUGUUCAAUAUCUCCACGUUUUAUGAAAUUUUGCUCGGCAUGUAAAUUUUAUAACGCAAUAUUUAUUUGCAAUUUAGUCCUUUACCUCCUUUGAUAGUGAAAUUGAAUUUCUUUUUCCAAAAUGCCUAUUAUCUCUAAUAUAAAUUUAUAAUUCCACUUGCUAUAAACAACCUAAAAAAUAGAAGUUUAAGAGCUAACUUCAGUCCAAUUCCAGAAACAAUCAGCAGUUCACACACAUAUUGUUUUUACCAUACAACAUUCAAAAUUGCAUUUCCAAAACUGAUUUAUGCGUGUGCAGCUAGAUGGAAACUAACUGACUUUGGAAAAACCAUAAACAUCAAGAGAUCAAAAAAGUCCAAUUCCCUAAACAGCCAUGAACAACUCACACACAAAUUUUUUGAACCAUAUAGCAUUGAAAAUUUCAUUCCCAUAACUGAUUUCUGCGUGUGGAGCUAAAUGAAAACUAACCUGACUUUGGAAAACCCAUAAACAUCAAGAGAUUAAAAAAUUUCAUUCCCAAAAUUUCAUUCCAAAAUUGACAAUUUUCUACCCUUCACUAUCCCAAUGAACUCCAUAAACAAACAUUUGAAAACCUAAGAAACUAACCUGUUAUAGAUGGAACUAAAUGGAAUUAGAUGGAACUUACCUAUUACUGAUGUAUAAAUAGCAACAAUCAGUAACACCAGCAAUUACAAACAACCACUCUUGAUUCAAAUGUACUAACACAUUCGGUUUCUACCAAGAAAUUAUCAAUAUCCAAGUGAAUAACUUCCAAUACUACUGCAAUUUAUAUACAAAUACAUAAGAAUUGAUGUAAUAUUCCAAAAACUGUUACCUAACUUUCAAAAGCUACCAUUCAAGAACAAGUUACUAAACAUUCAAAUGUGGCAUACACCAACUGAAAAUUUCGAAAUUAGCAACCUAAACCUUCCAUUCCAGAGCAACUAACCAAACAUUCAAAGUAUGAUACCAACAAGCAAUAGUCUCAGUUUCAUAAAAUAUUAUCACCAACCAUUCAACUUCAAGUAACCAAACUGAAAAGGAGUACUUUAACAAGCUAAACAUAACAUUCAAAGUUAAGCAUCCACAUAUUUAAGGUAACAUUGAAAGUUAAGCAUCCACAUAUUUAAGGUCUACAAUUUAGAAAUUAACAUCCAUGAAAUUGCAACCCAACAACACUAUUCAGUCAUACAUAUAUAGCAAAACAUACAUGGUUGUGGUGUUCCAAAAACUUAGCUACAUAAAUACACCAAAUCAUGGGCAACUCCUUCUAAUUCCAACAACAAUUGCAGCACAGAAAGUCUGCAAAACCAGUUGAAAAUAUUUCAUACAAAUUAAUAUAUUACUUAUCUACAGAAUUCAACAUAAAUGCAAAGACAAGAAUAGGGUUAAAAGCUAAAAACUGACCUUGUCCAUUUAAGUUUGUCUGUGUUGGUCAAACAUAAUUUGCAGCCAUGACAUUUUUCUGUCAAUACAACCUAUUGCAGCCCACAUCUCCCUCUUGCUCCUCGCACAAAAGAAUUUAGUUGCAAAGGUAUGCAAUGCACUACCAAAUGCAACUCCAUCAAUAGAGUGCAGUUCUUGCAUUACCUCUUCAAUGCUACAACCUUUUUUUUAUCUCUACAAGGAGCUGUGAUCCCUCUAGGCAUGGAGACAGUCUCAACAAGUUUAUCCAGACGUGCAACUAGUACUGCUCCCAUUCCAGUUCCCCUUUUCUUUUUUCACAAUUGAGGUGUAGGCUGAUGUGCACCUUCUCUUUGAACUGCUGGGGUUGCUGCUACUGUUGGCGACAUUGCUUCCACCAACCAUAUUGCUAACAUCAUGUGUGAAAUCAUGGAUUGCAUCCUCUUCAGAGUUGCCACUUCCUUCUUCCAUAUUAGUAUCCUCAUUGGUUGUAUUCCUCAUUCCAGCAGCCAUAUUAUCUUCAUCUGAUAAGAGUCCUUAUGAGGGAGUCCAAGCAUAUUCUCCCGUGGCCACUAUGUUAGUAAACAUGAUAUCGUACUUGGCACACAACGAGGGCUCUAUGUCGACAUGUCUAAACUUCUUUGCUCCUCUCAUUUCCUGUGCAAUGACAGCUAGAUGUAAUUAGGAAUGAUACUAGGUGAAUAAAUAAUACAACAUGAAAAAAAAAAUUAUGAGGCUAUUGCAAAUCAGCAAACUAACCUGAAUUUUUGAUUGCCACCAUUCAUCAGUUGCUGAGAUGGUCCCAAGUUCAGUAGACCAACCAACUCCAGUUUUAGCUAUUAAUUUCUUCUAUACCCUCCAAUCCUUUUUAAUCCCAUCCCAUUUAUUUUUAAGCUGAGAUUUUGAUAAUGAAAGGCCUGUCUGAUCUUUGAAUGACUGUACGAAAAAUUUCCAGCCAGCUUUGUCAAAAUAUGUGUUUGGUCUCAUGCCUCUCUUAAUAGCUGUAAUGCAAAUGUCGCAAAACGUGUGCAACAUUGCCUUGCUCCAAGAAGCUUUGUCAUGUGUGUCAAACCCAUCCAUUGCUUAUGGUUGACAAUGCAAUGAAAAAAUAAACAAUCAAUUAACCAAAUGAACAAGAGAUUGAAUGCUAAUAAGGCCAUAAUACAAUAGUAAUAGAACAGGAAAUUACAUGUGCAGCAAAAGGUCAACCAAAGAAUAACAAAAGGUUGAAUGUUGACAAGGAAUGAAAACAUAAAUAAAGAAAUUAUGUAUAGAAGAAUGGUUGACAAUGCAAGAUAGAAUUCAAAACACAAUUCAAUAUAGAUGAAUAAAGGUUUAAUGCUGAUAAGGGAUGAAAAAAAGAAACUAAGGAACUAGUUAAAAAAAAAUUGCAUGUUGUGAAGUGUGAACUAAGGAACUUAAUAGAAGGAUUGUCAUCAACCUAAAAACCUAGCCACUAUGCCAUAAUCCUAUAACUGUUUAUCAUCAAUUAGCAGGGGAUAUUCUAAUUAGCAACUGAAAUAAUUUGUUUAAGUUAUUAUGUUUAUAGUUGUUAGCAAUCAACAACAAACAAUAGAAUUAUGUAUAACAGAAUGGUUGACAAUGCAAGAUAGAGUUGAGAAUAAUGGAAUGUGUUGGGUUGUUCCUUAGCCAACCUUCCUAUUUAUAUAGAGGCAGCAGAUCAUUGCAGUAACUGUAAUGAUUACAACAUCCUAUAUUAGAAUCCUAUUAUGAUAGAUACAUGAGUAACUAUAAUGAUUACAACAUCUUAUAUUAGAAUCCUAUUCUGAUAGAUACAUGAGUAACUGUAAUGAUUACAACAUCCUAUAUUAGAAUCCUAUUCUAUAAUAUGCCCCAUCAAGCUGAGGGUGGGGGAUCAACCCGAAGCUUGAAUCGAAAAGCAGUAAAGGAUGCAACAUGAAGCGGUUUAGUGAAUACAUCGGCAAGUUGAUCCCGAGAGGGAACAAAAUGAAUCUGAAUUUCUUUCUUGGCAACACGGUCACGGACAAAGUGAUAAUCCACUUCAACAUGCUUAGUACAAGCAUGGAAGAUAGGAUUUGCUGAGAGAUAGGAAGCACCAAGAUUAUCACACCAAAUGGUAGGGGCAGAGACUGAGGGAACCUGCAAAUCUGUUAACAAGUAUUGAAGCCAAAUGACUUCAGCGGUACCAUCAACAAGGGCUUUAUACUCAGCCUCAGUAGAGGAGCGAGCAACAGUGUGUUGCUUGCUGGAUUUCCAAGAAAUCGGCGUCUGACCAAAAAAGACAAGAUAGCCGCCCGUAGACUUGCGAUCAUCAAUACUACCAGCCCAAUCUGCAUCUGUAAAGCCAUGUAGAGCAAAAGAGAAGCCUCGAGUGAUAUGGAAACCAUAAGAUGUCGUACCUUUAAGAUAACGUAAAAUACGUUUGACAGCUGCCCAAUGAGAAUCUGUAGGAGCAUGCAUAAACUGACAGACUCUGUUAACAGCAAAGCAUAUAUCUGGACGGGUGAAGGUAAGAUAUUGAAGAGCACCCACAAUUUGACGAAAUCGUGUAGGAUCAUAGAAUGAAUGAUCUGGUAAUAAAAUGACUUUCGAAGGGGAGACUGGAGUAUCAACUGGUUUGCAGGAAGUCAUACCAGCUCAAGUGAGGAUGUUAAGAAUAUAUUUAUGUUGACGCAACAUUAAACCCAUACUGGUAGACUGAACUUCAAUACCCAGAAAGUAGUGAACAACACCUAAGUCACGAAGCUUGAACUCAGAGCUGAGUAACUAUAUAAGGUGAUGGAGCAUAGCAGAGUUGCUACCCGUGAGCAGAAUAUCAUCAACAUACACUAGGAGAUAAAAGAUAUUAGUACCAUCAGAUAAGAUAAACAGGGAGGUGUCAACCUUGGAAGCUCGGAAACUGAUAGAGAGCAAAAAAUCACUUAGACGAGUGUACCAUGCUCUCGGUGCCUGUUUCAAACCAUACAAUGAUUUGUGCAAUCUGCACACAUGAGAUGGAAGAGUAGAGUCAACGAAACCUGGAGGCUGUUUCAUGUAGACCUCUUCAGUAAGAACACCAUUGAGGAAGGCAUUAUGAAUAUCAAGCUGAUGAAUCUUCCAAUUUUCCAAACCGCGAUAAAGAAAACCAAUCGUACAGUGGCCUGCUUAAUAACUGGACUGAAGGUUUCAGAAUAAUCAAUACCUUCCUGCUGGGUAAAACCUCUAGCAACAAGGCACGCUUUAUAGUGCUCAAUACUACCAUCAACACGACGUUUGAUCCGAUAUACCCAUCUACUGCCAACAACGUUCAUCGAAGGAUGAAAUGGAACCAAAGACCAAGUGCGAUUUUCGCGUAAAGCGGCGAUCUCAUCACACAUAGCAUUAUGCCAAACUGCAUACCGGUCAGCAUCAGAGAAUGCAAAAGGCUCAGAAGAGGGAGAAUACAGUACCCGUGUGGAGGUAGAAGUAGCGGCAGCAGAAGCAACCAGAUUAGCUGUCUUCGGCUGCCGCGGUCUAAGAGUCAUAGGAUGUCUGCUGUGUGCUGGUGGAGACACAGGGGAAGACGGUUGUAGCGAGGAGACCUGUGGCAGCUGAUAAGAAGACAAAUCAACCAUAAGUUGCAGACCAACGGGAGAGGAUGAUAAAGAAGCAGCCUCAAGCACAGGACUGUCAGCAGAGGAGGGGCUGGAAGUAGAGACUGAAGCUGCAGGAGUGCUGGCCAGGGAGGGCGAAGCAGAGGAGGGACUAGAAAGUGCCCCAAGACCAUGAGGAGAGGAGACCAAUUGACGAUCUGAACCUGCAUUAUAAGGGUUAGAUAAACAAGCAUGGGAUGAUGGCCAAGGGAUGGGCGGAGGCUGUGGUCGGUGGCUGUUUGGAGUGGCAAAGCGGAGUGUUGUGGGCUGUUUGGGUGGCUAGUGAAAGUGGGUGGCGGUGGGUGGUUUAGCAAAUUUGGAGGGUGACAGUAGGGGUGGGGUGGGGGUUGUGGUGGAGACCUUUGCAAUCUGUUCAGAAUUAUCAAAUGGAAACACAUGUUCAUGGAAGCGGACAUGACGGAAAUAUAAAUACGGUGAGAUGCAAUGUCAAGACAUCGAUAACCAAGAUGCGAGGAACUAUAUCCAAAAAACACACAUGGAGAGGAACGAAAAUCCAAUUUAUGAUUAUUAUAUGGACGCAGAAAAGGAAAACAGAGACACCCAAAGGUACGCAAAAAAUGAUAAUCAGGAGACCGUUGAAAUAAACAAUCAAACGGAGAGCGAUGGGCAAGAAUAGGAGUAGGCAUGCGAUUUAUAAGAUAAACAGAGGUUUCAAAAGCAUAAUUCCAGAAUCGAAAAGGUGCUUUACAUUGCCCUAAAAGAGUAAGACCUGUUUCCACAAUAUGCCUAUGACGACGCUCUACUGUUCCAUUUUGUUCAUGAGUGUGGGGACAAAUCAGACGAUGAUGAAUACCAAUGGUCUGAAAAAAUGUGGAUAGUUUUCGGUAUUCACCGCCCCAAUCAGUUUGAACAGAUUUUAUUUUUAAUGAAAAUUGACGUUCGACAAGAGUCUGAAAUUGAUGAAAAACAGAGUAAACAUCAGACUUGGCAACGAGAGGAUAAUACCAUACAUAUUUAGUAUAAGCAUCAACAAAGAUAACAAAAUAACGAUAGCCAUCUGAAGAAAAAAGAGGAGCAGGGCCCCAUACAUCACUAAAAAUUAAUUCAAGUGGAGCAGAAGUUUUGUGACCCGUAGGUCCUAAAGACAAACGCGAUGAUUUUCCUAAAGGACAACUUUGACAUUGAAAAUUAAGACGUUUGUUGUUACAAAUGAUCUUAUUUUUCGAGAUUAACAAUUGAAAAAUACGUGAAGUAGGAUGACCUAGUCGACGAUGCCAUAAAUCGGCAGAGGCAGAAGUGCAGGGAGACCAAUAGGCUUGAGGAACUGACGUGACGGAAGACUUGGUCAGGGCAUAGAGACCAUCUUUACUCUGACCUGAGAGAAGGACUUCAUGGGUGUUGAAAUCCUUGACAUAAAACACACGAGGGUGAAAUUCAAAAUAAACAUUAUUAUCAAGACAAAAUUUCUGAACAGAGAGCAGAGGUUUUGUGAUUGCAGGAACAUGAAGAACAUUAGAUAAGGUGAAAGAACGAUGUGGUGUAUAUAUUUUUGUAUGACCAAGAUGAGAUAUAGGAAGGCCCUUACCAUCACCAACAUGCAAAUUAUCAUUACCAAGAUACGGUUCUGAAGCGGUCAAGGUGGCAAGAUCAGGUGUGACGUGUUGAUUGGCACCGGUAUCUGGAAACCAAUCAACAGAACCGGUUGAGGAGAGAUUGCGCUGCACCAGGUUGGCAGUAGGUUGUUGGCCAUAACCUCGCUGCUGGAAUUGAGGGCAAUGGGAGCUGUAUGGCCGAAAUUCUGACACAGUUGGCAGCGUGGAUUCUGCCCCCUAUUGCGCUGCCAAGAGCCCUGCCUAUUGUCACCGAAGGAGGAGUUUUGGAAGCUGCGGUGAUCAGGUCUGGAGCCAGCAAAUCGGUUGCCUCUGCUGUUGGACUGGUUGGGACGCCAGCCACCGUUGAAGCGGCCCCUGCUGCGGCCAGAAUUGCCAAAAGUCUGGCGCUGCGCAACAAGAGCAGAAGAUGGAAUGCUGGGUGUGGGCAGCAGAGGAGCAUGUAUGGCAGCAGAAGAUUUGUGAAGAAAUUCAUGUGUGAGGAGAUGGCUGUGAAGAUCUGCAUAUGAUAAAGGUUCAGCCUUGGUAAUAAGACUGGUAACUAAGUCUUUAAACUCUCCCCGAAGACCACGAAACACAUAUAAAUUGAAAUCUUCAAGCGAAACUGGCCGACCAGCAGCGGCCAAUUCAUCAAAUAAGGCCUUCGCUUUUUGCAUAAAUUGAGUUACUGAUUCAUCACCCUGUCGAAGAUCCUGAAGAGAGCCGUGAAGUUGCAUAAUACGAGAGUUGGAGGUGGAAGCGAGAGCUCGCUCAAGAGUGCCCCAAGCUGAACAAGAACUUUGACAGCCAACAACAAGAUGCAAAACUUCCAUAGAUAGGGAGGAAAGAAGAGCACUUAGAAUGAGUUGGUCCUGUUGUUUCCAGGUUUGAAAAAGCGGAUUUACCUGAAGAGAGAUACCAUCAUGGGCAAGAACAUGUGUUGAUGGACAUGUGUUGGAGCCAUCAACAAAACCAAAAACUCCUUGGCCUAGGAGAUAAGGCAGCAUCUGCAUACGCCAAUAUAAAUAAUUGGUGUUUGUUAAUUUGAGGGAGAUGACUUGAUGAGUGUGAGAAAGGGAGAUAAUGCUUGCGGCAGUAGAGGCAGCAGACGUGGGCUGCUAGAGGAGGCGUUCACCAGCCAUGGCAGAGGAGAAUCCAGGCGGUGACGCAGCAGAGGAGGCGCUGCAAGAGAAGAGGGCUGCACUGUCGGAGAAGAAGAAAGCUGGACUACUAGUGCUGCAGAAUUUGAAGAUGUAUGUGGCGGCUGUUCCAUUGAAGAAGGGAGGCUGUGAGAAAAGUAGGUUUAAUUUAUUUUAGGGUUUUGUGGCUCUGAUACCAAGUUGAGAAUAAUGGAAUGUGUUGGGUUGUGCCUUAGCCAACCUUCCUAUUUAUAUAGAGGCAGCAGAACACUGCAGUAACUGUAAUGAUUAUAAUAUCCUAUAUUAGAAUCCUAUUCUGAUAGAUACAUGAGUAACUAUAAUGAUUACAACAUCCCAUAUUAGAAUCUUAUUCUAUAAUAAAUAGAAUUUAAAACACAAUUCAAUAUAGAUGAAUAAAGCUUUAAUGCUGAUAAGGGAUGAAAAAUAAUUGCAUGUUGUGAAGUGUGAACUAAGAAACUUAACAAAAGGUUUGUCAUCAAUUAGGAGGGGAUGUUCUAUAUAUAUAUAUAACUAUUAUUUUAAUGUACAUUUAAUAACUUUUUAUAUUUAUAUAUAUAUUAUUUUAAAUGUUUUAAUCUUAAAUGUUUAUUAUAUAUAUAGUUAUAUAUAGAGUAUAUAUAUUAUUUUAUAUAUAAGAGCAUGGAAAUACCAAGAUCGUCGUAAUGAGCAUUGAAGAUGUGGUUGACGAAUGUACAAUGUUCUACUUUGCUGGACAAGAAACAACCUCAGUUCUUCUUACCUGGACCAUGGUUUUAUUGGCUCAGUAUCCGAAUUGGCAAGCACGCGCAAGAGAAGAGGUUGUGCAAGUCUUCGGUAACAAAAAACCAGAUUUUGAUGGGAUAAAUCACCUUAAAGUUGUGAGUAUUUCUCUGCAUUUGCAACUGAAUUCUUGUACAUCAAUAUUGUUUUAUUAUUGUUAAGAACACAGAGCAUUCUUGCAUUUAAAAUGCAAGCGUAGGUAUUCUUUGAAGAAAAAAUAAGAGAGCAGAAAUAAAAAACGUUCAUGUUUUCAUUCGUUGAAUUAUUAAUCGGCCAAAAUGACGAGGAAAAGCAACCAACAGAUGAGUACGCAAGCAAGCUAGGAGGUGACAUCUAUAUACAUUAAGAAUGAGAUUUACUAGUUCUUGGGUCAACAUAAAAAUUCUCAAAUUAGUAAGUUGAAAUGGCAUGCAAAUGAUCUCUAUAUAUGCGAUAUUCUAUUUUAUCAAAGUGGAUCGCAUGUCACCUUUUUAAUGGAUUCUUACCAUGUAGUAUCAUUUUCUCUUUUGAUGCAUGUUACAGGUUACCAUGAUUUUGUAUGAAGUUCUUAGGUUAUACCCGCCGGUAAUUAUGCUUAAUCGAGAUGUUCAUGAAGAAAUAAAGCUCGGAAAUUUGCUAUUACCUGCCGGAGUGCAGGUCUCGGUGCCAACAAUCCUCCUUCACCAAGAUCAUGAACUAUGGGGUGAUGAUGCCUCUGAGUUCAAACCAGAGAGGUUUGCUGAAGGUGUUUCAAAGGCUACAAAGAGUCAAGUCUCAUUCCUUCCAUUUGGAUGGGGUCCUCGGAUAUGCGUUGGACAGAACUUUGCUUUGAUUGAAGCAAAAAUGGCUUUGGCAAUGGUUUUACAGCGUUGCUCUUUUGAGCUCUCUCCGUCGUAUAUUCAUGCUCCUCGCACAGUCAUAACUCUUCAGCCACAGCACGGUGCUCCAAUGAUAUUACGUAAACUCUAAAAUGUUCAUAUGUGACGGGUAAGAGUUAUCCCAGGGUAUAAAGUAGGUUGGAUCUCCCAACAAACCAAACCAAAAACAAAGCCUCUAGUGUAUAAUAUUAUGUGCAAAUUAUGCUAUCAUGUCCAAUGACAUAUUUGUCAUAUUAAUCAUAACAUUAUAGUACCGUGGGUUGUUUUGCUGUAAUCAUAGUAGAUUACUAUAAUAAAAUUACAUAUUUGCUUUUGAGUGGGAAAAAAAAAAGUCUUGAGGGUGGGGUGUUUUGAUCUUUUCUAUUAGCCCAUUCAUCAUUAAAAAAAUUAUUUAGGGUGUGGAAUUUAAUUUUUUACAUGAUUAAAAGAUUAUUUUACUUUCGGAGUCAACAAAACUUAAAACGUUUGACUAACGAUUUUUUUUUAUUUUUAUCCUGGUAUUAAAAAAUUGUUGGGCUAUUUUACAAUGAUUUUUUUGUUUUUUCCAUUAUUAAUAUGUAGUAAAGGUAUAUUUUUGGCCCUAGAUAAGAGAAAAAAUCAGGUUUGUAUUUAGGGGUAUUUUUAUAAUUUUGCACGGGUUUUUAGGUAAUUACCGAGGUCAUAAGAGUUUUUUGUAUUUUUAAGUUGAGUUUUUAAUUUUUUUAAUCAGAAACGUUUUUGGUGUGUCGUAAGCACGCCGACAAGUAGAUGACGUAUGCGUCAUUCAAAUGUGAUCUAGUUGCCCAUUUAAAAUUUGAUCUGACUCCAAAAAAAACUUUAAGUCGUCAUCGUUUUAACCUUUGCGCAAUCCAAUCAGGUUUUUAAAUAAGAAACAAUGGAUUGUCAUAUGAGAAAAUCAUUUAUUUUUUAAGAUUUAUGGGGCGAAAUGAAAAGAUAACACUAUAUUAGAUCAACCUCGGUCAAUCUAGGUAACACCUACCGUAUGGGUUGGUAGGGUCAUGACAUGACCACAAUAAGCUAAUAUGGUUUUGGUUAUUUGUCUCUUUCAUUUCCCUUCCUUUAUUUUCUUCCAGGUUGGGCCUUUAUUGCCUUGGGUGUGAUGAAAUUUGGGAAUAAUUGAAGAGUUAUAAAAGACUUAGGAACCAAAUCAAAAAUAUUAAAAGAGUUAUAAGAGAAUCAAGUAUCAAAUAAAAAAAAAAUGAUAUGACACCAAAUAAAAAUAAAAGAAGGUGGUGGGGACACAUAACCCGAAGUAUUAUUUAUGCACACGUAUAAUCAUAGACGAUGGAGGAUAGCCCAAACAAUUGAGAGAUUGGGUUUUAACUUAUGUUUUUUGGUUUAAUUUAUAUGAACUUGGUUUAUUAAUUUGGCUUUAUUUGUUGGGUAUUUUAUUUAGUGGGCCAUAAGCCCAAUCGUUUGUUCUAGUUAGGGUUUUAGUAUUUAUACCCUAUUUUUCUAAAUAUUAAGCAUUUUUGAUGAUUAUUGAAAAAUUUGCAGACUUUACAUAUCUUCAAUCCCCAUUCUUUUCGUUCUUUGCUUUCACUUCUCAACUUCUUCUCUAAAAGCUUCUUUAUUUUCUUGCUUUAAUUCUUAUUAUUUAUUGUCCUGCAUCAAAUUUAAUAUCAGAGCAAGAGUUUUAAUUGUUCUUACAAUUAAACGAUCCACAAUGUUUAUGCUAAACCCCAGUUCUGGUUUGAUCUAAACAAAAUGGUCAUUGUUUACUGUUAAAAAAAACUAACUGUUCUGAUUAUAUAAAAAAAAAACAAUAACAACUGGAUCUACAUUGUUCAUUGUCUCCACCAGUAAACCACCGCCGCAGAGCACAACGCCAUCACCAGAGGGCAGGUCAGGCUUUCCCAACAACAACCACCAAAACCCACCCGCUCUCCACACCACCUGCAGUAACGCCUAUUUACUACUUCCAAAACUCCCGCUGCACCUUACCAUCCACCAGCAACAACAUAUCAGUGGGUUACAAUAAUUGUAGCCCACGCCACCGUCACCAACCAACCUAGACAACAACCCGCAGCCAUAACAGGUCGCCCACACCAGCAGCAGUAGAUCAUCAACCAGCUCAUCCUCUCCCUGCCAUCGGCGGGUUGGACAUCCAGCAUUUUUAAUUGUUAAUUUUUGUUCAUCAACCUCUUUCAUCAGUGAUAACUAAUAUCUUAUUCUAUUUUGAUAAUUAUGAGUUCUUGCUUCUGACAUUGUGUUUGAUUAAUUAUUUACACUUAAAAAUCUAGUAUUAUAGCUUACAAUUUUAUUAGUGUAAUUUGUUCUUGAUUAAUCUCCACAUUUAAGAGAAAAAAAAGAUUAAAAAAAAAUCAGCUUUAUUUUGGUAUUGUGAUUUUACAUGCAAGAAUCAUUUGUGAUCUCAAUUCCAUUUAUAAGUUAGUAUUGCAUGCAUUUAUGUCAUAAUCAUCUAAUGUCCAAGCUUAAUCUUACACUUACUAUAGACUUAACCUUUAGUGAUACUCUUACAACCAUUUAAAGGGAACUGCAAACUUAGGUGAUCAACAUGUUUAAAAGAAUCGAGCCCCAAGAGAGUUUUCGAAUAAGACACUUAAAGACCAAUAAAUAUCGCAAGAAUAAUCAUUAUGGACAAGUUCACUCUAAGUGCCACCAGUAUGACUAUCAUUUAGGUUACUGUAAACACGAUGACGUUGAUGAGCGAGUUUUGAGUUCUAACAAAAUAGAAGUUCCACUUUUGACGGUCGUCAUGAACCUUGGAUACUUGAUAUGUGGAUUCGUGAUAUGGAUAGAUUCUUUGAGUGGUAUAACUUGUCUGAUAAUAGGAAAGUUAGAUUUGCUAAGAUGAUGCUCAUUGGUGAAGCCAAAAUUUAUUGGAGAGAUGUUGAAGAUUGUUUAGAGAUGAGAGGUAAACCUCCUAUAACUGAUAAGAUUAAAAUGAAACAAAAACUUCAGGAGAAGUACUUACCCUAGUCUUAUAGGAAUAAAAUCUUAGACCAAUGGAACAAUCUAAGACAAGGGAAUAAGUCUAUCAAUGAGUAUAUAACGCAAUUUAACGAUUACAUGAUUAGAUGUGCCAUAAGAGAGAAUGAAGCCAUGACUUUGCAUAGAUUUUGUAAAGGCUUUGAUGCAAAUCUCAUGAUCACGUGGUCACGCAACUGACAAUCAAGAUUCAGAUCUGAUCCCAGAAAGCCAAAAUAGGUCUGAUAGGAGUGUGACACAAUGGAAACCUGCCUCAAGACACCAACACUAUUAGAAUGAGUAGAAUGACAUCACGAAGCCAGUUAAUCUUCGAUAAGUCAGAUUCAGUGCGUUCAAGAACUGAAGAAUGAAAGAAUCACUCUCACAUGUUAAAAUUGAAAAAUUCAGAAGUAAUAAUCAUCAAAGCUGCCAAAAGUUUAGCUUACAUGAGUUUAAACAGUUCCUGAAGAAUUACCCUAAUGGACCCCUUAUGUGGACUUAUAUGAGGUCCACUCAAAAUUGACCCAAAAUCUUAAACUGAAAAGCCCAUUACUUAAUCCAAACAAGCAUUCGAUCCUAGCUUAAAACAAAGUAUUAAUUAAGCCGAAACAAGCCUUGGACUGUAGCUAACAAAAUAAAAUAAAGCCCCUAACAUUAAAUCCAUGUUUUGCCAUGAGAAAAAGACAAUGAAAUAAAAAUAGUACAUAACUGAUUCAAGGCUUAUUUAAAGCCUUCCAUGCAGCCCCUUAAUCCUAGAAACAAAAGGAAAAGGUAGCCACCCAUGUUGUUUCCAAGUUGUAGUAGGAUUCUUUUGUUUCCUUUGUUGUCCUCACUUCAUGGCCUAAAUAAGGUUGUAUUGGACCCCUCUUGCACAUGGAUAAGAUGUACUAGGAUCUCCUCUUGAUACUCCAAUGGACCUUUCAAUUUUGACUUGGUGGAAACCUUCAAAACCAAUGUAUUCAAUGUGUCUUUCAAUGUCUUUGUCUUGGACCGAGUCAUUAGUCCAUUUGGAACAUGUAAUGGGUCCUUGCUGGUGUUUCUAGGCUGGUCCACAUCAUCACUAUUAGAAUGAGUAGAAUGACGCCACGAAGCUAGUUAAUCUUUGAUAAGUCAGAUUCAGUUUGUUCAAGAACUGAAGAAUGCAAAAAUCACUCUCACACAUUAAAACUGAAAAAUUCAGAAGUAAUAAUCAUCAAAGCUGCCAAAAUUUUAGCUUACAUGAGUUUAAAUAGUUCCUGAAGAAUCAACCCUAAUGGACCCUUUAUGUGGACUUAUAUGAGGUCCACUCAAAAUUAACCCAAAACCCUAAACUAAAAAGCCCAUAACUUAAUCCAAACAAGCAUUGGAUCCUAGCUUAAAACAAAGUAUUAAUUAAGCUGAAACAAGCCUUGGACUGUAACUAACAAAAUAAAAGAAAGCCCCUAAUAUUAAAUCCAUGUUCUGCCAUGAGAAGAAGAGAAUGAAAUAAAAAUAGUACAAAACUGAUUCAAAGCUUAUUUAAAGCCUUCCAUGCAUGCAGCCCCUUAAUCCUAGAAACAAAAGGAAAAGGUAGCCACCCAUGUUGUUUCCAAGUUGUAGUAGGAUUCGUUUGUUUCCUUUGUUAUCCUCACUUCAUGGGCCAAAUAAGGUUAUGUUGGACCCCUCUUGCACAUGGAUAAGAUGUACUAGGAUCUCCUCUUGAUACUCCAAUGGACCUUUCAAUUUUGACUUGGUGGAAACCUUCAAAACCAAUGUAUUCAAUGCGUCUUUCAAUGUCUUUGUCUUUGACCGAGUCAUGGUCCAUUUGGAACAUGUAAUGGGUCCUUGCUGGUGUUUCUGGGCUGGUCCACAUCAAGCUUAAAUGUUGAUCUUAGAAGAGAAGUUGUAUUUCAAGGUGUAUCUACCCUUAAUCAAGCUUAUACUUUAGUUCAAAACUACAAGUUGGUCAUGAAGAAUCGGUGGAUGAAUUGUUAGGACUCUUAUAGUAUCCCUACUAGGUCCCAAUUCAGAAGUAGUGAUUAUUUGUUAGGUGCUCCACCACACCGACCUAAUCCUAAUAGCGCCCAUUGUUGUAAGAAAGAUAAGGGCAAAUGAGUUGUCAAUGAAGUGUCUGAGGUGAGUUCACAGGUUAAGUGACACGACCAAAAGAUUGAUGUCUUCUCCCAAGUGUAGGAGUGUCGAAGUAAUAAAUAACCCGACAAGAUUGGGGUUAAACCAUAGAGAGGUUAAUUGUAUAAAUUAUAAAUAACAAUACAACAACAACAACAAUAACAACAAUAAUAACAAUAAUAGUAAUAGUAAUAAUAAUAUUAACAGUAAUAAUAAUAAUAAUAAUACUCAGUACGUGGCGUUGUUAUACUUGAGAAUUAUCUAAAAGAUCGGGUCACAGGUUUCCAGCCUAUAUACUGAGUUUACGAAAAGAUCAAAGAGAUAUAUUAUAUAAUAUAAACAGAUUUCUUAUGCGAAUGAACAAGGCAAGACCAACAAUGUCAGGAUUCUUGAUCAAACACAGAGCAUACUUAACGUACAUAAAAUAUAACAAGAAUGUAAAUAGUAGUAGUAGUAGUAGUAGUAAAAAAGAAGAGGAAGAAAUUAAUGAGAACUUUGAGAUGGAAGAUUAUUGUAAGAAUUAAACAAUGAUAAAAACACAUGUCAAGGUUAGAGGAUCCACUAAUGGUAUUUCAAACAAGUAUAGUAUAAACUCUUAUUACUCAAUUUGGAAACCACACACGAAGGAGGUUCCAAUCGGAUGAUUUGUCAUUAAUAGCUCAUUAUAAAUUGUUAACAUGACCAUAUUAAUUAUCUUAUUUACAUAACACCAAACUUUUAAAUAUUUUCAGGAAUUCAUGAUGCUUACUUAUGUUAACAACAAAUCAAGUUCCUUUUAUAGCACAGGUGUAGGUAAUACCAUACGAUUGGGCUAUGAGAGUGCCAAGCAUUUGUUGUACCAAGUGUUAUACAACACAAAUUUAGAUUAACCAUUUAACAAGCAAGGUAUUAAGAAUUAGUCAGAUAAAAAGAUAAGACAUGUUAAUAUUAAACAUUAAGGUCCAUGUUGAGUUUACACUAUACUUAUUCUUACACCAUUAAUGUAACCUUUUCACCUUGACAUAAUAAACUUAGCUAAACAUAAUGAAGAAGAGAAACAUAAAUAAACAAAACAAGAACAUAAAUAAGAUACAAGUUAACUAAGGAAAAGAAAGGAAAUGAAAAGCAUAAACAAGAUAUUAAUGAAAGUAAAACUUAAGAAUUACAAAAAAAAAUAUAAAUAGAGAAAUAAAGAGCAUGAUCUUGAUCUGAACAACCAAGCCCCUAAAUACAUGGCAAAUGCCUCCUUUUAUAGGCCAAAAUUCAGAAUUAUUGAUUUGAUGACUAAUUGUUGAGUGGGUGGCCAACUCUUGACUUUGUGAAAAUCCUUAUCUUCUUGUCUGAAUAAAACGAAAUUCCUAGCAUUAGAACUACGACCACUUGAAAACAUGAAAGUUGUAGGAAAUUGACUCAGCUUUCCAGGAAAAAACAAAUGGAGGUCAUUUGGACUUCUAGAACUCUAGAUAUAGGCCAAACACUGAACAGUGUUCGGGCUGCAGGACAGAUUCGGACUUCUCCGUUGUUGCUAUAAUUUGGACUUGCAAACGGCCUUAUUAGAUCUUGGUGUCCACAUGAAAGUUGCAGACCUAUGUCUUACUGAAUAUGUGUAAAAAUUUGAGAUCAUUUUGACAUCUAGAACUCCAGAUAUGACACAAUUACCGAAAAAUAUUCUAGUUUUGACUGCACCAACAUCUCUUUUCUAAGUUUGGCCCUCUCUUUGUCCUUUCAAUAUCCAUACUUGAACUCAUCAAUCAAUCCUUUGAUUUAUGUGAUAGGCCUACAUUUAAGAUGAACAUUUACCAUAUAUAUUAAGGUAUUUUAUAGUAUUAGACUGGUUAUUAUAAAACAUGAUUUAGUUAAGGAGUUAUUAAUACUUUAAGUGCAAAAUGAUGAUACAAAACCUUGAUAAAUAUGCACUUUUAAGUACUAAUCAUUAAGUGUACGAAUUGUUUAGGUUUUGGUCAUAUCUCUUUAAAUUGCACCUCUAAACCCUUAGUCAUCCAAAAACAUAAGUAUAUAGGUAAAGAGGAAUAUUGUAGUGUUGAAGUGUAUGGGCCUCAUCUUGAGGAUUUUAGUGACCUAGAUGAUGCGGAUGUGCAAGAAGAGGAACCUAACACAAUGAGUCCAUGUGAGCUUGAGAAUGAGGUUAAGAAGGAGUCUGAUAUGUCUGCUUUAAUUGUAGAGGAAGUUUUAGGGAACUCUUCAGUGGAAUCACCUAUAGAGAUAAGUAUGGUCUUAGAAGAGUCUCAUGAUAUUAAUCUUCCUAAAUUACCUGAUUCCUCACCCCACAUGCUUGGUGUCCAGCACAUCAUAAGUUUAGAGCAACAUGUUGAGGUUCUUGACCCCUUCCCUCGUGCACGUGAUGAGGAAGAUGAAGAUAGUCCUAGUUUACUUUAUUGUGUCCAUACCAUAUAUACACAGGUUUCAAACAAUGUUUGUCUCAUUCCACAUCCUCAAUCAUUUAGUGUUCAUAGUUACAAACCUGAGAAGCCUAUAGAACACCUUCUCAUAUCUCCUCAUGAUAGGAUGUCUAAGUUAGCUGAGUCGUUACCAUGUAGAGUUCAUAAUUUGCAUAUUGAGAUCAUGAAACAAAUUCAAGCAAGUAACGAAUAAUACAAAUUUUGAGCUGAUUUACUUAAGUAUCAUGAUGCACUUAAUGUUGGAGAUUAUUUCAUGAUACAGAUUAGACCUCAAUGAUGUUCUUUGAAAACCGAUCAUAAAUUGCAAGUAAGUGGUGCUAGACCAUUCAAAGUGUUGCAAAUGAUUGAAUCAAAUAAUUAUGUCAUUAAAUUGCUAUUAAACUUUGAUAUUAACUCUACUUUUACAUUAAAAACCUUAGUAUUUAUAAAAUACAACCUAUCCCUGAUGCUUCUUUUGAUACCCCUACCUCAGUAUUCGUAUCUUUGGCACAAAAGGAACAUAUUAAUGCUACUUUGAAUGCACAAGUUGUUUUUAUCAGGGAUGGUGAACUUCAGCAAAUUCUAGUAUAUGGGCUUGACGACCAGAUUCAGACUAUACUUGGAUUAUUAGAGAGACAUCACAACAACUUGAUUCUUAUCUUUGAGAGCAUUAUCGGAGUCUCCUUGACCUAUACUCGACGGGGUCGAGUUCUUCCAACCCCAGGAGAAUUGGUGGGGACACCGAACCCGAAAUAUUAUUUAUGUACGCGUAUGAUCAUAGACGAUGAAUGAUAGCCCAAACAAUUCAGAUAUUGGGCCUUAACUUAUGUUUUUGGGUUUAAUUUAUAUGAACUUUUAGUUGAGGUUUAUUAAUUUGGCUUUAUUUUUUUGGGUUUGAUUUAAUUAUUGUUGGGUAUUUUCUUUAGUGGGUCAUAUGCCCAAUCGCUUGUUCUAAUUAUGGUUUUAGUAGUUAUACCCAACUUUUCUAAACAUUGAGCAGUUUUGAUGACUAUUGAAAAAUUUACAGACUUUACAUAUCUUCAAUCCCCAUUCUUUUCUUUCUUUGCUUUCACUUUUCAGCUUCUUCUCUAAAAGAUUCUUUCUUUUCUUGCUUUAAUUCUUAUUAUUUAUUGUCCCGCAUCAGAAGGUGUGUGCAAUGUACACACCAAUAUGGAAAGAAGUGUGUCAUGUUUAGACCACAUGUGUAACUUUCUUUAAACUAUGAUGACGGAUGUACUUGGUUGGAAUUGCCUCGGCAGCAUCUCUCUUUUAUGGUAUUGAUGGCAUAGUCAUGACGUGGCUCUGACAACCUUUUUAUUUUUAUUUUAUGUCUCUUUUUUUAUUUUCUUUCUCUUCUCAACCCCUGAUUCUUGCCAUGCCCCGAAGAGAAAAAAAAAAUAACCACAAUUUUAAUCUACAAUAACUUAUUUAACUUCUUAUAACAAAGCAUAAUCGUGCUUUCAAUGUCAAACAAUGUCAUCAUCAGGAAAAAAAUCAAAAAUAUCGUGUAACUUAUAAAUGGCUCUUCAUGCUGAGAUUCUAAUUACCAUUUAUUUAUUUAUUUUAUCUACUCCAAUCAACAAUUUGUUUAUUCUCAUGAAUAAAUUAAUUUAAUGACUUGAACCGUAAAUAAUCCAAACACUAGCAAACAAGAUAUGGAGAUGGCCAUUCACAAUUGACAUUUCUUCCCCACAACCAGUAAAAAAAUAUCGCACUCCCCCUUCUUGAAUCAUUGAAACUUGCUUGGAAAGAAAUGUUUGAAGGCAAUAAUAUUUAAUUGGUCUCUCUGCGCCCAUGGUCUCUGCGCACAUCACCUGCCCAAAGUCUUCGCCUUUUCUCUCGCUCUCUCAUCCAUUUCUGGAUUUAUUUCUUCGUGUAAAAAUGACAGUAACAGUCACUUCAAUUCUAGUCUCCAUUGUUUAUGUUGCAGUGCUAAGAUGGGCAUGGAGAGUUUUGAACUGGGUUUGGUUCCGGCCGAAGAAGGUGGAGAGGUGCUUGAGACAACAAGGUUUUGCAGGCAAGCCUUACAGGCUUUUGUUCGGAGACUGGAAAGAAAGUUCAGAUAUGUUGAAAGAAGCAAGGACCAAACCCAUUGGUUUAUCAGACGCUCUUCUACCUCGUGUCAUGCCCUUCCUCCAUCAACUGGUCAAGGAUUAUGGUAUUCAAUACGCAACCCUUUAUUAUCUCUCUCGUAGAAAAGAUGCUUUUUCUUGCUAGUUAAAUAUUUCUCCGAUUUAUUAAGAAAUUCCUUUUGUUUUCUACAAGGCGCCAAUGAUUGAGAAAUUAAAACCAAUAGUAUUGUGUGCGUGGAGAAACAAGAAAAAAAAGAAGAGUAAAUUGUGACUCUUUUUAUUGAAUGGAUACAUAAUAGUAUAUAGGUUGCAUGCGAUAAUCUAGAUGGUGCAUAGUGAUUAGCUUAGGUUGUGUAUGAUAUAACCUAUUCGUGUUGUGAGGGUACAAUUGAGUAGUUGUGUGGGGUAAAUACAAAAAUCAGAUCCUAAAUGUUGAUUUAUAUUUAAUAAAAUUAAUACUUUUGUAUUUAUUUAGGUAUAUUAAAAGAAUCAUAACUUUAUGUUUUCCUGCUUGUUAAAGUAAAGCUGCAUCUAGAGAAAGAUUAUACUUUGUCAUCUCUAUUGACGUGUUCAUAAGAAUAUAAAAUCUAUUAGAAAAAGAAGUAAAAAUUCUCUUACAAGAAUUUUCCUCAACAAAAGAAUAUAUAUGUAUAUAUUUUUAAUAAAUAUGCUUCCUCUGACGAUUCAGGUAAGAAUUCAUUUAUGUGGGUUGGGCCAAAACCAAGAGUGAACAUCAUGAACCCUGAUCAGAUAAGGGACGUAUUCAUGAAGAUAAAUGAAUAUCAGAAGUCCUCGCGCCAGCUGUUUAAACCUCUAGCAUGUGGACUUGCAAGUCACGAGGGUGAAAAAUGGGCUAAACAUAGAAAGAUAAUCAACCCAGCAUUCCAUCA